UGGGGGAUAUUGCACAAUGGGCGAAAGCCUGAUGCAGCGACGCCGCGUGGGGGAAGAAGGCUUUCGGGUUGUAAACCUCUUUCGCUAUCGAACAAGGCCCGCUUAGGGUGGGUUGAGGGUAGGUGGAGAAGAAGCGCCGGCUAACUACGUGCCAGCAGCCGCGGUAAUACGUAGGGCGCGAGCGUUGUCCGGAAUUCUUGGGCGUAAAGGGCUUGUAGGCGGCUUGUUGCGCCUGCUGUGAAAACGCGGGGCUUAACUUCGCGCGUGCAGUGGGUACGGGCAGGCUUGAGUGUGGUAGGGGUGACUGGAAUUCCAGGUGUAGCGGUGGAAUGCGCAGAUAUCUGGAGGAACACCGAUGGCGAAGGCAGGUCACUGGGCCAUUACUGACGCUGAGGAGCGAAAGCAUGGGUAGCGAACAGG
rnacentral:rRNA from 1 species